rnacentral:rRNA from 1 species
UACGGAGGAUGCAAGCGUUAUCCGGAAUGAUUGGGCGUAAAGCGUCCGCAGGUGGCUAUGUAAGUCUGCUGUUAAAGAGUCUAGCUCAACUAGAUAAGAGCAGUGGAAACUACAAGGCUAGAGUACGUUCGGGGCAGAGGGAAUUCCUGGUGUAGCGGUGAAAUGCGUAGAGAUCAGGAAGAACACCAGUGGCGAAGGCGCUCUGCUAGGCCGUAACUGACACUGAGGGGCGAAAGCUAGGGGAGCGAAUGGG